rnacentral:rRNA from 1 species
AUUGAACGCUGGCGGCAGGCCUAACACAUGCAAGUCGAGCGAGCGGCGGACGGGUGAGUAAUGUCUGGGAAACUGCCUGCUGGAGGGGGAUAACUACUGGAAACGGUAGCUAAUACCGCAUACUAUCAGAUGUGCCCAGAGGGGAUUGGCUAGUGGGUUGGGUAACGGCUCACCUAGGCGACGAUCCCUAGCUGGUCUGAGAGGAUGACCAGCCACACUGGAACGGAGACACGGUCCAGACUCCUACGGGGGGCAGCAGUGGGGAAUAUUGCACAAGGGGCGCAAGCCUGAUGCAGCCAGGCCGCGUGUGUGAAGAAGGCCUUCGGGUUGUAAAGCACUUUCAGCGGGGAGGCGUUAACCGAAGAAGAAGCACCGGCUAACUCCGUGCCAGCAGCCGCGGUAAUAC